CGUGUGUGUUCUUGCGUUUUUAAUAUACUGUUUUCCUGCCAUGAACUUUUGUCAUUUUAGUGGUAUAUUUAGCAUUGUCAAAAAGCGUGAGGUUACUUCUAAAAAUAAAUUACUGCUAAUCACCUCAAGACAAUACAACAUUUCUGUAUGCAUAAUUUAAAAGUGUAAGGGAGUUUUUUUUUAUGUAGUUCAAACAACAUUAU
rnacentral:lncRNA from 1 species